rnacentral:lncRNA from 1 species
UUGCACUUCAAUGAGCUAACUUAAAAAAUCUUUUUCUCUGUUUCUAGGAAUAAAAAUUCUCAAUGGGUUGUAGAGAUACAAAGCUCACAAGGCAUUUGUCUCUAAUAUUCAGAAGAGUCUAGCACAACUGAUUAAUGUUGAUCUUGCUGAAGCAAAGUCGCCCUUCAUAAAUUCCUUCCAUAUAUAUCACCAGGACCCAUCUCCCUGGUUAGCCACUCUCCUCAAGAGCUAUCAUACAAGAGUCCUGAUAAGCCCAGGCACUUAGCCAUCUGCACUCUGCCCCUCACCGAUGAGUACCUAGCUGACUCUGAAAUGAAUGCAUCACACAAGAGCUUCACAAUGUGUGGAAUUCUUCCAGAAGAGGCACUACAAAGAGAUGUUAUGAGUUUGAAUUUCUUACAGUAUUCCAAAGAAUGCUCUUCAUGAUUCACUUAAAAUCCCUCUUAAUAAGGAUUCACUUAAAUAAAAUGAAAGCCAAAGUUGAAUACACCCC